UACAGAGGUCUCAAGCGUUGUUCGGAUUCAUUGGGCGUAAAGGGUGCGUAGGCGGCGCGGUAAGUCGGGUGUGAAAUCCUGCAGCUUAACUGUAGAAGUGCCUUUGAUACUGGUCGUCUGGAGGGAGGUAGGGGUGUGUGGAACUUCCAGUGGAGCGGUGAAAUGCGUUGAUAUUGGAAGGAACGCCGGAGGCGAAAGCGACGCACUGGACCUCUUCUGACGCUGAGGCGCGAAAGCUAGGGGAGCAAACGGG
rnacentral:rRNA from 1 species